AUUGAACGCUGGCGGAAUGCUUUCCACAUGCAAGUCGAACGGCAGCACGGGGGCAGCCCUGGUGGCGAGUGGCGAACGGGUGAGUAAUACAUCGGAACGUGCCCGGUCGUGGGGGAUAACGUAGCGAAAGUUACGCUAAUACCGCAUACGAUCUGAGGAUGAAAGCGGGGGACCUUCGGGCCUCGCGCGAUCGGAGCGGCCGAUGUCAGAUUAGGUAGUUGGCGGGGUAAAGGCCUACCAAGCCGACGAUCUGUAGCUGGUCUGAGAGGACGACCAGCCACACUGGGACUGAGACACGGCCCAGACUCCUACGGGAGGCAGCAGUGGGGAAUUUUGGACAAUGGGCGCAAGCCUGAUCCAGCCAUUCCGCGUGCAGGACGAAGGCCUUCGGGUUGUAAACUGCUUUUGUACGGAACGAAAAGGCUCUGGCUAAUACCUGGGGCUCAUGACGGUACCGUAAGAAUAAGCACCGGCUAACUACGUG
rnacentral:rRNA from 1 species